AUGGUCUCCAACAAUGCCCCCGGGAUAGGCCAUAGUAGUAGCGAGGGGUAUAAAACCGGCGCUACUACUAAGCUGCCUGGUGACUAUGGGUCUGAUCCCCUGGGGCUCGGGAAGCAGCCCAAGGACCUGAAGUGGUACGUCCAGGCCGAGCUCGUGCACUGCCGGUUUGCCAUGGCAGGGCUUCUCUUGAUGGGGUUUGUCGAAACCAAGAGUUAUUCAACAUGCUUCAAACUUUUUCUGUUCGAUUUGGUGCAGGAGGAUGCCCGAGCUGACCAGGAGGACACCCUUCUGCACCUCAGCCACCACACAAGUCCAUUGGCUCCUACUGCAAACAGGUCUAUAACAGGUUAA
rnacentral:rRNA from 1 species